rnacentral:rRNA from 1 species
AUUGAACGCUGGCGGUAUGCUUAACACAUGCAAGUCGAACGGUAACAGGCCUUCGGGCGCUGACGAGUGGCGGACGGGUGAGUAACGCGUAGGAAUCUGCCUCAUAGUGGGGGACAACGUGGGGAAACUCACGCUAAUACCGCAUACGCCCUACGGGGAAAGCGGGGGAGUCUUCGGACCUCGCGCUAUGAGAUGAGCCUGCGUUAGAUUAGCUAGUUGGUAGGGUAAAGGCCUACCAAGGCGACGAUCUAUAGCUGGUCUGAGAGGACGAUCAGCCACACUGGGACUGAGACACGGCCCAGACUCCUACGGGAGGCAGCAGUGGGGAAUAUUGGACAAUGGGCGCAAGCCUGAUCCAGCAAUACCGCGUGUGUGAAGAAGGCCUUAGGUUGUAAGCACUUUCAAUUGGGAGGAAAACCUGCCGGUCAAUA